rnacentral:pre_miRNA from 1 species
UGGACAGAUUACUGUGUUCGAUUGUAUUCACGACGUGAAACAGGGGAUUAUACUAUUUUUAAACGGAAAGUGUAUCAAUUAACAUAAUAGACUACU